rnacentral:rRNA from 1 species
AAUUUAUUGUAAAUAAAAUCUGCUCAAUGAUUAUAAAUUUAUUAUAAAUUAAAUAGCCGCAAUUCUGUGCUAAGGUAGCAUAAUCAUUUGUUUUUUAAUUAAAAUCCAGAAUGAAAGAUUCAACAUUUAAAUUUCUUUAUUAAAAUUUAAAUUUUAAUUUAUAUUAAAUAUAAAAAUAUAUUUUUAAAAUAAAAAGACGACAAGACCCUAUUAAACUUAACUUAUGUUAAACUGGGGCAGUUACUUAAUAAAAAUUUUAAUAAAAUAAUACUUAAUAAAAUUCUAAUAUAAUUAAACAUAACAAGUUACUAUAGGGAUAACAGCGUUAUACUUUUUAAAAGUUCAUAUUUAAAAUAGUGAUUGCGACCUCGAUGUUGAAUUAUAUUUCUAUAAUAAUGUAACCGUUAUAUAAGUAGGUCUGUUCGACCUUUAAAAUAUU